GGGGAAAGGAGGGUGAGGUGGGUGUUUAGGGAUUAACUUUGUCUUUAAUUUUUAGAGCACAUGUAAAACUCUUUGGAGGUGCUUCAUAUCUGUAGGAGGAAGUCCAGAUGCCUAACUGGGUAUUCAAAAGCAUUCAGAAUGUAUUCCCUGUUUACUCUUUUCUAAAACAUCAUCUAUUACAUUUAUUACUAUAUACAUAUCUGCCUACUUUCUGUUCCUCAAACUCCCCUCAGAUUCUCAUACCUCCUUUCCUUUUGUACAUUGUUCUAAUUGGAAUGCCCUGCUUUGUACUCACCUAGACACAUUUUCUGAAGACUGUGUGGGCAGACAAGAGUCUGUUGACUUUGCAAGUGAUCUGUGACCUCCAAGUGAUUGGUGACAUUGAGAACAGCAGUUUCUGUAAGUGAAGGCAGAGAAAGAAUAAAGAGUAAAUUACAAACGUGAGGUGGAGAAAUUUGCCGUAAGGCAAAAAGAAGGAAGGAGAGAAGGGUAGUAGGUAGUAGCUGGAUGGAGAUGUGGGACUUAGUGGAAUAUUUUUGUUUUUGGAUGAGAGUAAAUAGAAUGUUUGUUUUUGGAUAGGGGUCCUUCCUCCUUUGAAGUACUCAUAGCUUUAUGAUACUCCUCUGAAGUACCCACACCUAUUUACUUGGCAUAUUCCUUUCACUUACAGGUGAUUUGAUACCAGUCCUCAAGCAUCCACCAGAGGGUCUUGUGCACAUCGGCCUCUCUGCCAAUGCUGUUGAAUGAGUGACAGCCUUCUGAGGGUCAGGCACUGAUGACCAAGAUGAGGAAACUGCAGAGUGUGGUCUAUGAUUCUAGGAUGAAAAUGCAACCUGGAAUUGCUGCAGAUAUAUUUAGAUUGGAAAGUGACUAUGUGAAGAUAAGAAGCUAACAUACCCACAAGAGACUAAGUUCUUGAUGAACUUAUUGAAUAAACCCUUAAAUGGCCCACUGCACAACUUACUAUUAAGUGAUAGAUUGAUAUCCUUAAGAUUUAAGACAGUAAAUUUUCUGUUUCUUGCAACUGAACACAUUCUAAUAUUAAUAAAAUUUCUUUCACCUUU